UGUUGGAGGUGAUCAGCUACAAGAUCUACACCAUACAGAGAGAGGAAGCCUUUUUGGAUGCCCUCAAUCCAGCUGGUGCAACAAAAAGUUACCGAAUUGAAGAAUUACCAAAAGAUGAGGUGCGGCUUGGAGACGAUGAAACACUCAUUCCGGUAGCACAUUUCCACAAGGAAGUCUUCUCAACAUUUGGAGUCCCAUUCUUACUAAAGAUUAAACAGAGUGAGCCCUUCUCAGCAGUGAAAGAAAGAAUCCAACGCAAAAUGGAUAUUCCAGAGAAAGAGUUUGAAAAG